rnacentral:rRNA from 1 species
AUUGAACGCUGGCGGCAGGCCUAACACAUGCAAGUCGAGCGGAGCGGCUGACGGGUGAGUAAGGCCUAGGUAUCUGCCUGGUAGUUGGGGAUAACGUACGGAAAGGGGCGGUAAUUCCUCAUACUAGCCGAUGAGCCUCGGUCGGAGUGGCUAGUUGGUGGGGUAAAGGCCUACCAAGGCGACGAUCCCUAACUGGUCUGAGAGGAGGAUCAGUCACACUGGAACUGAGACACGGUCCAGACUCCUACGGGAGGCAGCAGUGGGGAAUAUUGGACAAUGGGCGAAAGCCUGAGCCAGUCAUGCCGCGUGUGUGAAGAAGGUCUUCGGAUUGUAAAGCACUUUAAGUUGGGAGGCGUUACCAACAGAAUAAGCACCGGCUAACUUCGUGCCAGCAGCCGCGGUAAUUC